AGCGAACGCUGGCGGCAGGCCUAACACAUGCAAGUCGAACGGACCCUUCGGGGUUAGUGGCGGACGGGUGAGUAACACGUGGGAACGUGCCUUUAGGUUCGGAAUAGCUCCUGGAAACGGGUGGUAAUGCCGAAUGUGCCCUUCGGGGGAAAGAUUUAUCGCCUUUAGAGCGGCCCGCGUCUGAUUAGCUAGUUGGUGAGGUAACGGCUCACCAAGGCGACGAUCAGUAGCUGGUCUGAGAGGAUGACCAGCCACACUGGGACUGAGACACGGCCCA
rnacentral:rRNA from 1 species